GACGAACGCUGGCGGCGCGCUUAACACAUGCAAGUCGAACGGAAAGGCCUGCUUUCCCUUGUGGAUUGCGGGUACUCGAGUGGCGAACGGGUGAGUAACACGUGAGUGAUCUGCCCCCAACUUGGGUAUAAGCCUGGGAAACUGGGUCUAAUUCCCGAUAGGACUGCAGGGUGGUGCCUGUGGUGGAAAACGAUUUUCUAGUGGUUGGGGAUGAGCUCGCGGCCUAUCAGCUUGUUGGUGGGGUAAUGGCCUACCAAGGCGGCGACGGGUAGCCGGCCUGGGAGGGUGGACGGCCACAUUGGGACUGAGAUACGGCCCAGACUCCUACGGGAGGCAGCAGUGGGGACUAUUGCACAAUGGGCGGAAGCCUGAUGCAGCGACGCCGCGUGGGGGAUGACGGCCUUCGGGUUGUAAACUCCUUUCGACCGCGAGGAAGCCACCUGGUUGGAAGGGUGGUGACGGUAGUGGUAGAAGAAGCACCGGCUAACUACGUG
rnacentral:rRNA from 1 species